GACGAACGCUGGCGGCGUGCUUAACACAUGCAAGUCGAACGGAAAGGCCCGGCUUUUGUGGGGUGCUCGAGUGGCGAACGGGUGAGUAACACGUGAGUAACCUGUACUUGACUUUGGGAUAACUUCAGGAAAAUGGGGCUCAUACCGGAUAGGAGCUCCUGCUGCAUGGUGGGGGUUGGUAAGAUUCGGUGGUUGGGGAUGGACUAGCGGCUUAUCAGCUUGAUGGUGGGGUAGUGGCGUACCACGGCUAUGACGGGUAGCCGGCCUGAGCGGGGGGCCGGCCACCUGGCGCCUGCGAUACGGCCCAGACUCGUACGGUAGGCAACGGUGGAGAAUAUUGCACAAUGGGCGGGAGCCUGAUGUGACAACGCCGCGUGCGGGACGACGGCCUUCUGGUUGUGAACCGCUUUCGCCUGUGACGAAGCGUGAGUGACGGUAACGGGUAAAGAAGCACCGGCUAACUACGUG
rnacentral:rRNA from 1 species